ACGACUUUCUUACUAUCGUCCCUGUCCCCGACUCGAGCCGCCGCCGGCGGCGCAUAGAAUAGAAGCAGCGGCGAGACGCGAUAGCUAUGGGAGACUAGGGGGUGGCUGUGGAGGGUGUCCAGGUUGGGGUAUGGAACCCAGCGCGGCGGCGGAGGACUGGCAAGGCGCGGCGGCGCUGUCGUGGUGGUCGGCGACGAGGGGUUCGGCUGAUGCACCCUCGAGCCUGCGCUCCAGCACUGCCUCUUCCGGCAGCGUCGUCGUGGAGCUGCGUCGACAUCACCAUUUCCUCGAGCGCGAGUGACUGCAACGAGCGUCGCCUGCUCCUCCAAUUAUGUUCACGUUCCAGAUAAGUUUGUACUAUUAUUAGUUAUUCGUGAUUUGCUUCUGUGGUUUCCUUUUCGAUCUGAAUUUAUACAAUUAAUUACGUCCAUGUUCCAAAAAAAAAAUUUAAUGAAUGCUGAACGAAUCUUCCGCUUUGCUCCUAUGCGAAAUUACUUUUGCUUUUAUCUGUUGGAUCUUGCAUGUAUCAAGUUUCUUCAAAGAAUAUCGCAAGGAUCUUUGUAUGAAUGAAUAUUUCUGUGUUGGAUCUUCACUUCUAUGAUCUGGGACGGUAAGGGAAUGAAUGAAAAUGAAAAGAAUAUUUGAUACCUUCGUAAAUACUCAGCUAAUUAUGCAUUCCCAUAAAAAAAAUACUACAAGAGAAAAUACCCGCAAUGUUGUGAAGGAGAAACUACGUGAUGUAUCUGAAACUAUAUGUGGUGAAUGUGAACAUGGAUGACAUGUGUGAACCUGGAUGCUUAUGACACUUGUAGAUGUUGUUGUGCGGUCUAUUCUCCAUAUACGUAUGAACUGUGUGCAGGAAUAUGGUGUGGGGAGAUUUUGCCCAACUUUUGAGCCUUUUAAACUAAAAUCUGAGGAGGAAUUUUUUUCAGUUAACAUAUGUAAGUCGGUUCUGUGACCAAAUGUACGGGUCUUAUUUGGUCGUUUAGCCGUGAACAAAUAUGUCACAUUAUUCUUGCUUGUUUUCACAACAACAAAAAAAUGGUCACAUAGCGCACCAGGGGUAAAUGCGUCUUUUCAUGUCGCUGUCCGGCAGUGCUCGAAAAAUGAACUAGAGUGUCAUAUUAGGUAACAUAUUCUGGCCAGAUGUCAAAUAGUGAAGAAAAAAUUUCCAAUGUCAAAUAGGGAAGCAGAUUUUUAGGUAGUGUCAAAUAAGGAAUUAUCUGAAAACCCCAAAUCAUCUCUCCAUUCCCCAUUCCCAGAUCCAAUACUGACCGAGGGGUGAGGGCGACAUGAGCCACCGCCGCCGUCGACGACUCUCGUUGUCAUCGCCGGAAUUGGCGAAUCCACUGGAUGAUGAUGACCUCCUCCACGAGAUCAUGUUGCGCCUCCCGCCGCAGCCGCCCUACCUCUUGCGUGCAUCCAUCGUCUCCAAGCGCUGGCGCCGUCUCGCCACCGACCGCAAGUUCCUCCACCGCUUCCGCAUCCACCACUGGAAGUCUCCCAUCCUCGGUGAUUUCUCGUAUCAACGCGGAAAAUUCUUGUUCAGAUCCUACCUCGAUCCACCCUACCGCAUCCCUCCCGAGCGCUUCUCCCUACGACCCAGCGGCAGCAAGCAAUGGACUUGCCUCGACUGCCGCCAUGGAUUCCUACUCUUUGAUGACAUGAUAUCGAGUCAGGUAAUUGUGUGGGACCCCAUCACAGAUGACCUCCACAUCAUUCCCUAUCCGCUGCGGUUCCACGAAUCUAGGAUUGUGCUAAUCCAGAGUGGGGCGGUACUUUGUGCUGCUGCCGACCAGGGCCAUGUUCAUGGCGCCUGCCACUCGAGCCCUUUCAAAGUGGUCGUGCUGAGCAGCUACCCGCACAAAGGUGAAGCCGCCAAUGAAAUUAUCACCUUCGCAAGCGUUUACUCUUCAGACACUGUUGGCAUAUGGAGUGAUCUCGUAUCAACAACACUUCCGUGGAGCGCUAUAAUGUUUCCAAUUCGCAGCACACUUGUCGGUAACACCCUUCACUGGCUGCUUGCGAUGAAUACCACUGGCAUACUUGAGUUUGAUUUGGAUACACAGAGGCUCGCUGUGACCAAGAGGCCUCUUGGUGCUCCUCCUUGCGAUGACAGUGUUGAGAUCAUCCAGUCAGAGGAUGGCGGUGUUGGCUUCGCUGCAUUGUCUGGCCCUCGCUACCGCCCAUGUUUGCAAAUAUGGGACAGGAAGGUCGAUCCUCAUGGAGUUAUCACAUGGGUGUUGCGGAAGACUCUUGAACUGCAGAAGAUUCUUGGAUUGGAGUCUAGGAUUGAGAAUAACAAAUUAUCUAUGCUGCACUAUUCGGAUGAUGUUCAUGCCAUCUUUUUGCGGGUGCAGUCAUCUGUCUACAUGGUUCAGCUUGAAUCUAUGCAGUCUAAGGAACUUGUCAAAAGAAUCCGUAGUUCCAUCUAUCUGCCUUUCACAAGUUUCUGGACCGAAGGUAACUGCUUGCUCAUCUUAACAUUGCACGACUCCUAAUCCAAUUGUUUUUCAUAGGAAUAACUCUUGUACUUCUGAAGUGUUAACUACAAACUUAACAUUUUUUUAUUAACUUAUAGCCUUUUUUUUCGAGAAAACGCAAGACUUUUGCGUUUCAUUUCAUUGAAAAGAUAGAUAGUUUUACAGUCCUCCUAGGAGGCGGGGUACAGAUACGAUAAUGUGUCUCAGUGCACAUCCCAGGUCGUCGGUAGCACUACCCUAAUGCCUUUCACACCGGCCCUAGCCCAAAGAGUAGCCUCUUCGAAGAUCUCGUUCACCAGGUCAUGCACCGAGGCCUGGGCUCUGUCAAAAACACACGAAUUGCGAUGUUUCCAGAUCAGCUAUGGCGUGAGCAGGGUGAAGGAGUCCAGUCCUUUGCGCAUGGGCGUCAGGGUCAGCUGCCUGGCCUUGCGCCACCACUCAUCAAGGGAGGUGGCGUCGUCGUCGGGCGGCUGGCAAGUCAUGCGUAGACGAGCCAACACCUCAUGCCAGAACUAUCGUGAGAAAGGAUAGGCGAGGAUGAGAUGAUGCAUGGUCUCUGGCAUCUGGUCGCAAAGGAGGCAGCGGGGAUGGUGCUGUAGGCCUCGUCUGGCUAGGCGCUGGGCGGUCCAGCAGCGGUCCAUGCCGACGAGCCAACUGAAGAAUUUGACCCUCGGCGGCGCCCACGUCUUCCAGGUAAACUUCCAGGAACUGGAAGUGGUGGAGCCCUGGAACUGCGCCUGGUAGCAGGACUUGGCGGUGUAAGUGCCGCUGUCCGUCCACUUCCAGAUCAGCCUAUCGGCCUCCAGGCCUAGCGUCGUGCGCGAUACGGCCGCCCAAAGCGCCAGGUAUUGGCCAAUCUCGUGCACGCCGAGAAGGCCGUGGAUGUCCUGAGCCCACCCAGGCAUUUCCAUGCAGCCCUUGGGCGACGGUCCUGACCUUGCGCUGGCGCUUGGGGAUGCAAUCGUAGAGCCUGGGCACUAUCUCCCGAACAGCGCGGCCGUCGAUCCACCGGUCUUCCCAAAACAGAGCGUUCUGGCCGUUCCCAACCGCCAUGGUGGUGGAGGCAAAGAACAGCGCUCGCUCCUCGGCCGUGAACUGUAGGUCCAGGUCGCUCCACGCCCGCCGAUCGUCCGUGCGGGAGAGCCAGAGCCAGCGUAGUCGCAGCGCGAGGCCCGUCCGCUCCAUGUCUGGCACGCCCAGGCCGCCGUACGAGAUGGGCCUGCACACGCGCUUCCAGUUGACAUGGCAGUUGCCGCCCUUGGCCUCCCUCUUUCCCUCCCACAGGAAUCCCCUCUUGAUCUUGUCGAUGAGCUUUAGGGUUUUCUUGGGAAGUCCAAGCACAAGUUGCUGGUGGAUGGGGAUGGCGCUGAUCACCGCUUUGACCAGGGUCGCUCGUCUUUUAUGUUUUUAUGUUAUCAUUGAACGGUGGGUGCCUAUGUUACUACCAUGGUAAUGUAUUAUUGUUCCUCUGCACACACACUUCAUUUUUUGAAGGGGAAAAGGGAUUAAAUUAAUUUAUGACAGGAUUACAAUCAUCAGCUAAUGCUUUGGCGAUUUCUGGAGUUUUCUUCUGGAUUUUUUUUUAUGUUUUUAUGACUGCAGUUUUCUUAUGAACCCUACGAACUCUAGCUAGUUCAUGGCUUACCAUGUUAGCAUCCCUACUGAUCUUAGCUAGUCUAGUAACCUUUUCCCUAAACAACUCACAAAUUACACUGAUGCGGAAGCUGAACGCAUAAAUAGAUGAAUUUGGUGUGCUAUCUUUUAUUAGCUCAGUUGCCUCCGCGCAAUCAGUUUCGAUUUUGAAGUCUGAUGGUGACCAAUGCAGAGCAAGUUGCAUUCCUUCCUUGAUCGUCAUCAUUUCAGCUUCUGUCGCGUUUCGACACUGCUUCAGUUCUCGACAAGUUGCGUAGAUAACCUGUCCUUCAUGGUCACGUAGUACCAUCCCUGUACCCCGCGGGGAGAGAAAGCGCAAUCAACAAUCAGUUUUGCAGUGCCCUCUCAUGGCAGCAUCCAUUUCUUCGUGACUUUCUGUCAUCCAUCCUCCUGAUCACACUGCCUGCUGAAUCCUUCAUUCACGGAGAUGAUCAUUUUCCCUUUUACCACAUCGAAGUCUGGUCUUUGCUUGAUCAUCAGCACGGAGUUAAGGUAACUGACAAGGAACUGUCGAGAUCCCUCCACAGGUGGGCAUGGUUUAUUAUGGGUGAGUUCAUUGUCCCAUACUCUCCAGAUUGUCAUCAGUGUCAUGGCCUGCUGGGUUUCAGACAAGGAGCGCAGUAAGUGAAGCAACCAAUCGUCUCACGUAUGGACUAUCAGGCUAUCUGACGGGAGUUCCCAGACCUCUAUUAGCGCACGUGCAUGCAGACACCGGCCAAAGACAUGGAACGUGUCACUCCCACAUAUUUGGCAAAUUGCUGCUGUAGCCAUACCUCUCCUGCUCAUGUUCACCUGAGUUGCAAUAGGAUUGCGGCACACCUUCCAAGCUAGAACCUUCAUCUUUGGUGGGAUAGGACAUUGCCAUAUAAUUUUCCAGCUUGGUCUAGCCCCACUUGGUCGCGCACUAGUUGCCCCUCGAUCUUAAGUACACCUCUUUUUAGCACAAACCACAUACGGGGUGAAAAAUUGCCAACAAAUACAACAUUUAGGGGAGUGAAAUACAGUUCUAUUCGGUAAUUGUCUCUGUGAAAAAAUUAUCACUGCUGAUCUUGCUAUUAAAAGUAAAUCUAUAACAGCUAUCAUACCUUAAAAAAUAUGUAGUGCUAUUCUAUUUCUAUAUUUUAUUGAGUUUUCCUAGAAGUGUUUGGAUGGGAGAGGUUUGAAAUAGUUGUAGACAGAAAGUAGAUAGCCGAUUGCGUGCCUUCGAUUGUGUAGUAGCCAAAAAAAAUUCUCAUUUUCAGUUAGUGCAGUGUGGUUACUAUUUUUGUUUUCAGAUGCUAUGAUUAUUGUGGUCUUAGAAGGUGGUGUGCAUAUUCGCCGGUUGCUGAAAAGAGCAUUAGUCGGCGUCAGGAGAUGGAAUAACAUUUCUGUUGUUAGCCAUUUUUGUGAAGUUUUUGUUGUUAGAUUGGCGCUGCUAUUUUAUUUUUACGAGUUCUGAUUGUGGUAUCCUCUAUGUGUGUCCAACUGUAGGGUGUAGGGUUAUAUCGGACUAUUUAUAAGCUAAACCAGUAAUAUAGAUGUCACAUCCUAGAACUAGGAUUUAUGUAUCAAUGUACACCAACUUUAUUAUUUUUCGUAUGAACAUGAAUUUUGUGGUUGCUGAUGCCUUGUAUAUAAAAUCAUUAUGCCUAUAAACACUAGGAUUUUACGUAUCAAUGUACACCAGCAGUAUUAUUUUUCGUAUGAAACAUGAGUUUUGUGGUUGCUGAUGCCUAUGGAUAUAAAAUCAUAAUGCCUAUAGAUACAAGAAAAGUCCACUGCUGUCCUCUUCUUGUACAUGUGCAUACUCCAAUGGUACUGAUUUUAUAGCAUGAGCAAACACACUGAAGGUGUGUCAAAUUGCCAACUUGAUUUGCACACUGAAGCUUAAAACUAGUUUCAUGUUUUCAUCUAAGUAAUCUGACGGUGCAUGACUAUUUUGUUUUUCAGGCAAGCAGGUUGCUAGUGCGUUCCCCCGAUAAAAAGAAAAGGAAAAGGUGUCUUUAGCAGUCUGAAGAAGCAGCAGCUUAUCACUAGAUGAUGUGCAGCCUGGGAUGCGACUAAAGUCUGAUUAUGUCCAUGUCUAUGUCUACAUGUACUGCAGCUGUCUUGCCGUAAUCUUCAAAUAUGUUAAACUGUGGAGUAGUACUUCAUAAUGGAGCAUUAUGUACUUGUCAACUAAAGUCUGUCAAAUGGAGCAUUAUGUACUUGUCAA